CCUCACAGCAGCGGUGACAAAUCCUCUGACACAGAAAUCACUGUGGUACAGUUUAAGGACUGUAAAUGAAGUCUUUGAGUCUUCAGAAAAUGGAAUUAUAACAAGCUGAGAAGCAAUGCCAAGAAAAAAAAAGUCCUGGAGACAAUGAAGGCAGUGGUGAAUUUCCUAAGCAAUCAGGACUAACGCUUCCUGGCAGAUGCUGAUACACAGAGCAGGGUGUGACGGCGGCCCGCUCCAUCACUCAUCUCCAUCCACACGCAUCAGUUCAGUCCUCAUGACGCUCAGAGAUGAGAAAUAAUUAAUUCAACAGCUACUGAAGCACAGAAUCACAUCCAUUCUGACUGCCACUGGCUAUUG